rnacentral:rRNA from 1 species
GGAGAAAAGCAGGGGAUCGUAAGACCUUGCGCUUUUGGAGCGGCCGAUGCCUGAUUAGCUAGUUGGUGGGGUAAAAGCCUACCAAGGCAACGAUCAGUAGUUGGUCUGAGAGGACGGCCAGCCACACUGGGACUGAGACACGGCCCAGACUCCUACGGGAGGCAGCAGUGGGGAAUUUUGGACAAUGGGCGCAAGCCUGAUCCAGCAAUGCCGCGUGAGUGAAGAAGGCCUUCGGGUUGUAAAGCUCUUUCAGUCGAGAAGAAAAGAUUGUGACGAAUAAUCACAAUUCAUGACGGUAUCGACAGAAGAAGCACCGGCUAACUACGUGCCAGCAGCCGCGGUAAUACGUAGGGUGCAAGCGUUAAUCGGAAUUACUGGGCGUAAAGGGUGCGCAGGCGGCUUCGUAAGUCAGAUGUGAAAUCCCCGGGCUUAACCUGGGAAU